AUAAUAAACCCCUCCAGGUCACCCCUCCAGUGAUCUACCUCUUCCAACUAGACCCCACCUCCUAAGAGUAAACCAGCUAUAUUGCCCCUGUAAUUCAAUCUUCUCUCAAAAAUCUCCCGUAUGAUUGCAUGAGGUUUGGGGGAACAUUUAUAUAUAAACCAUUAUUUCUUUAUUUAACAAAUGAGUAAACUGAAGGCCAGAAAAUUUAAUGAUUUACCAAAGUUAUGUUGCUAUAUAAAAAGUGGAGUGAUGAUUUAAAUCAGAUUUUUCAAUCUUAAAGCUGACAUACUUUCGCCUGUGCCACGCUGUCUUCUUGGUAAUGGUGUACUCCAUUUAUUUCUGUGAUUCCUGGAAUAAAUUUUAGGGCACAGCAUCCUCAUGGAAUCAUGCCUAGUUGGAUAGCAAAUGCCUCUGCUGCCAGUGGAGAAGCAAAACUUAAGAGAAAUGUCAAAGCCAAAUUGGGCCGAAGGUUUGUUGACGAGGACCUGCAACUAAGAGUUUGCUUAAACGUCAGAGGAAACUUUGGACUUGGACUUCCAGCAAUGCUGAAACUGUUUGGACUUUUGCAACUCUUAAAGAUGGACUAAAUGCCUUUUGCUUAAAGGGAUAUGCUUGAGUAUUUGGGAGCCAGGAGCAGAAUUUAUGGCUUGCGUAUAGAUGCAAACCUCAUGCAGCCAUAAGCGGAGCUUUUUCAGAGAUGAUUGGAUGUAUUGUGUGAUGUUGGAAUUGACUCAAAUUGCAUGAUAGGAUCAAAAGUACCAGGAUUAAGGGUGUGAGUGCUACCUACCCUAAAUACCCAGAAUAAAAGAUAAAGUAUAUAAAAAGCUAUGCUCAUUCCUUGCUUGUUUUUAUACCUUCCACCUACCAUGAAGUGUUUCUCCUCUGUGAUGUCUGUUUGCUACACCACCCUGCUUUGGAACUAGCAAGUCAUGGACAAAAACUUCUAUAAGCUGUCACGUAAAUAAACCAUUCCUCCUUUAA